UGUACGCCUCCUAACCCUCCUGGAGGAAAUCAAGGAGACGCAGAGGGUUCAUGGGAAGAUGAUACAAUCACUCCUCACACAACGUGAUGCAACCACUGUUGCAACACUACCCGAGGAUGUCGUUUCCCCCCUAAAAACGGUCUUGGAUAUUGAAGCAAUGGAGCGGAAAUUGACAGACCCCAACUUCCACAAAGAAGUGGAACUGCAAUUUCAAGUUUGAAGUCAUUUGGGUUGCCGUGGUGGCAGAUAUUGGAGGGAGUACCGUGGAUGAAACCACUUGGAGAAUGAUGGCCUUCCUUUUGGACCACCCCUUAUCAAGAGAGUACAAUUUUGUUGGGCGCCAUGGAAAGCGAGAAUUCCGGGGACUCAAACUGUUUGAGCUUUUAUACAGCAGCUUGAAAAAAAAAUGUCCUUACAAACCAUAUAAAUAGAAAAGAUGCUGAAAAGGCAGUGUCGAAGUGGCUAACUGGUGCCAGGGACAGGGGAGGAAACCAUACUGCAAGGGCACAUGCUGGAGAGCAAGAUGGGUGGCCGUUGGGAGGGUGAGGACGGAGGAGUGAGGAGCUGCACUGCGGUUUUGUUUUAUUCAGAUUAUUUUUUUUUAUAUAUGUUAUUUUUCAGAGUUUUUAACAACUUUAGAACAUAAUUAACUUUUAAGUCAUGUUAAGUUAUUAAGUCUGUUAUGCAAGUUAUGUACCAAUUAUUCCCACAAAAGCCUUGCUUACUAAAGGAAAGCAUUAACUACUGGACUCUCUUCAUUGAAGCAAUACAUUUUACAUUUUAGUGUACUUAAGUUGGUUAAAUGUAAUAUUUGUAUUUUGGGGUUUACUGUAAAAUAAGGUAACCCAAGCAGACAAAUAUGGUAACCCAUUUAUAUACCUGUUGUGGCCCAUAAGAGCAAUAGAUAAGACCUAGCUGGGUCCCAUCAUCAACCCAUGUAGGCAGACUCCUGUAGGCUCCAAAUGGGAGAAACCUGGGUAACCCAUAUGGGCCCUAUAUGGAGCCCAUUAAGGGCCCAUCAUCAACCCACUUGGGCUAACUCAUGUGGGGCCUCCAUGGAAACUGAGGACAAAAUUGACUGGGCCCCAGUUUGGUAGCCAGGUGGGCCCCAAAUAUCAGCCCAAGUGCAACCCAUUUGGGCCCCACAUGGGAGUGCUGGCAAGGGAUAAAUGGUAAACCUUACUGCUUACUUUUUUUUUUUUUUUUUUUUCUUUUUUUUUUAAUAAUUAGGGGCGAAUUCCAAUUGAAAGUGAUACUCCUUAUGUCUUACUCAUUCCGAAGGACAGAGCUA